rnacentral:rRNA from 1 species
GACGAACGCUGGCGGCGUGCUUAACACAUGCAAGUCGAACGGACAGGCCCUGCUUUUGUUGGGUGCUCGAGUGCCGAACAGGUGAGUAACACGUGAGUAACCUCUCCUUGACUUUGUGGUAACUUCACGAAACUGCGGCUAAUACCCCAUAUGAUCUCCUGCUCCACGUUGGUGGUUGGUAAAUUUCGGCGGUUGGGGAUGGAAGCGCGGCUUAUCCGCUUGUUUGUGUGGUAGGGGCUUACCAAGGCUUUGACGGGUAGCCGGCCUGGGAGGGUGACCGGCGACAUGGGGACUGAGAGACGGAGCAGACUGCUACGGGAGGCAGCAGUGGGGAACAUGGCACAAUGGGCGGAAGCCUGAUGCAGCAACGCCGCGUGCGGGAUGACGGCCUUCGGGUGGUAAACCGAUGUGGCCUGUGACGAAGCGUGAGUGACGGUAAUGGGUAAAGAAGCACCGGCUAACUACGUG